rnacentral:rRNA from 1 species
GAUGAACGCUGGCGGCGUGCUUAACACAUGCAAGUCGAACGGAAAGGCCCUGCUUUUGUGGGGUGCAUGUGUGGGGAACGGGUGAGUAAAACGUGAGUAAACUGUCCUUGACUUUGGGAUAACUUCUGGAAAAUGGGGCUCAUACCGGAUAGGAGCUCUUGCUGCAUGGUGGGGGUUGGUAAGAUCCGGGGGUGGUGGCUGGAUUAGAGGCUUAUCGGCUUCUUGGGCUGGUAGUGGAUUACCAAGGGUAUGACGGAUAGGCUGCCUGGGAGGUGGACCGGCGACAUGGGUCCUGCGGGACGGCCCAGACGGCUACGGGAGGCAGCAGUGGGGAAUAUUGCACAAUGGGCCGAAGCCUGAUGCAGCGACGCCGCGUGCGUAAUGACGGCCUUCGGGUGGUGAACCUAUGUCGCCUGUGACGAAGAGUGCGUGACGGUAAUGGGUAAAGAAGCACCGGCUAACUACGUG